UGUGCCUUUAACUAGUCAGUCUAACUAUCUCUCACUUAGGGUAACAAGUGACCUGAAGUCUAUCACUGGAGAUUAGUUCACAAAUGUCAUAUAAAAGGAGUCAUACAGUACAUACUCCCUUGUGUCUGGCUUCUUUAGUGUUUUCUCAGGCUGGUGGUAGAAGAGAAAUUCGGAUAGAGCUGAAGAAUGAGAAGUAUUUGAUGUGAGGGAGGUUCUCUGUUCCUUAGAUGAAGAGGGCCAUGGGUCAAGGAUCUGAGUGGCCUCAAGACCUGCACAUAGUCCCCAGCCAACAAGCAGCAAUGAAGUGAGUGAAAUUCUUAUAGCCAUGAGGAAUGAAAUUCUUCCAACAACCUGAAUGAACCUAAAAGUGAAUUCUCCAAAUAAAAAUUGGACCCUCCUAAUAAGAGCCCAGCCUGGUCAAUACCUUGAUUUUUGCUCGAGAGACUCUAAGCAAAACACCCCAUCAAGCCCACCUGGACCAAGAGAACUAUGAGAAAAUAAAUGGGCAUUGUUAGAAGUCGCUUAAGUUUGUGGCAGUAUCUUACACAGCAAUAGAAAACUAAUGCACUUCUUCUGUAAAGCAUCUGUUCACACUUUUGCCCAUCUUGUUUUAAUUGGGUUAUCUUUUUAUUAUUGAACUGUAACUUUAAAAAUAUAUCUAUAUAUUUAAUUUUAAUUUUUAAUUUUUGUGAGUACACAGUAGGUGUAUAUCUUUAUGGGGUACAUGAGAUGUUUUGAUAUGAGCAUACAAUGCAUAAUAAUCACAUCAUGGAAAAUCCAUCCCCUUAAGCACUGAUCCUUUGUAUUGCAAACAAAACAACUAUACUCUUAGUCAUUUGUAAAUAUGCAAUUAAAUUAUUAUUGACUACAGUCAUCCCACUGUGCUAUCAAAUAC
rnacentral:lncRNA from 1 species